rnacentral:rRNA from 1 species
AGAGUUUGAUCCUGGCUCAGGAUGAAUGCUAGCUACAGGCUUAACACAUGCAAGUCGAGGGGCAGCAUGGACUAGCAAUAGUCCGAUGGCGACCGGCGCACGGGUGAGUAACACGUAUCCAACCUGCCUGUCAUUCGGGUAUAGCCUUGCGAAAGUAAGAUUAAUCCCCGAUGGCAUUGGGAUUCCGCAUGGUUUUCCAAUUAAAGAUUAAUCGAUGACAGAUGGGGAUGCGUUCCAUUAGGUAGUAGGCGGGGUAACGGCCCACCUAGCCUUCGAUGGAUAGGGGUUCUGAGAGGAAGGUCCCCCACAUUGGAACUGAGACACGGUCCAAACUCCUACGGGAGGCAGCAGUGAGGAAUAUUGGUCAAUGGACGCGAGUCUGAACCAGCCAAGUAGCGUGAAGGAUGACUGCCCUAUGGGUUGUAAACUUCUUUUAUAUAGGAAUAAAUGUGGGUAUGUAUACCUAUUUGUAUGUACUAUAUGAAUAAGCAUCGGCUAACUCCGUGCCAGCAGCCGCGGUAAUACGGAGGAUGCGAGCGUUAUCCGGAUUUAUUGGGUUUAAAGGGAGCGUAGAUGGUAUUUUAAGUCAGCGGUGAAAGUUUGGGGCUCAACCUUAAAAUUGCCGUUGAAACUGGAGUACUUGAGUAUGGACGCGGCAGGCGGAAUUCGUGGUGUAGCGGUGAAAUGCUUAGAUAUCACGACGAACGCCGAUUGCGAAAGCAGCUUGCCAGGCCAUAACUGACAUUGAGGCUCGAAAGUGUGGGUAUCAAGCAGGAUUAGAUACCCUGGUAGUCCACACGGUA